rnacentral:rRNA from 1 species
ACGGAAGGCAGCAGUGGGGAAUAUUGGACAAUGGGGGAAACCCUGAUCCAGCGACGCCGCGUGAGUGAAGAAGUAUUUCGGUAUGUAAAGCUCUAUCAGCAAGGAAGAAAAUGACGGUACUUGACUAAGAAGCCCCGGCUAACUACGUGCCAGCAGCCGCGGUAAUACGUAGGGGGCAAGCGUUAUCCGGAUUUACUGGGUGUAAAGGGAGCGUAGACGGUAUGGCAAGUCUGAAGUGAAAUGCAUGGGCUCAACCCAUGAACUGCUUUGGAAACUGUCAAACUAGAGUGCAGGAGAGGUAAGUGGAAUUCCUAGUGUAGCGGUGAAAUGCGUAGAUAUUAGGAGGAACACCAGUGGCGAAGGCGGCUUACUAGACUGUAACUGACGUUGAGGCUCGAAAGCGUGGGGAGCAAACAGGAUUAGAUACCCUGGUA